rnacentral:misc_RNA from 1 species
GAUGAAGAACGCAGCGAAAUGCGAUAAGUAGUGUGAAUUGCAGAAUUCAGUGAAUCAUCGAAUCUUUGAACGCACAUUGCGCCCCUUGGUAUUCCAUGGGGCAUGCCUGUUCGAGCGUCAUUUGUACCUUCAAGCUUUGCUUGGUGUUGGGUGUUUGUCUCGCCUCCGCGUGUAGACUCGCCUCAAAACAAUUGGCAGCCGGCGUAUUGAUUUCGGAGCGCAGUACAUCUCGCGCUUUGCACUCACAACGACGACGUCCAAAAGUACAUUUUUACACUCUUGACCUCGGAUCAGGUAGGGAUACCCGCUGAACUUAAGCAUAUCAAUAAGCGAGGA